GAGGUGCAUAUCGCCCACCCCCAGGGUUUUAUAUUCUUUGAUUUCCAUCAUGCUCUUGCUGAUAACUUACUUGCCCUAGUUGUAGAGGUGAUCACGGAGAAGGAUAUGGCCUCAUCGGAUAAGCUAGAUAAGAAGGCCCGUCAAAAAAAGGUAGCUGAGCCUAUGGGUAGUUGGAGCAUCCGCAUCAAGACUAAAAGUCCCCUAGCACUGCC
rnacentral:lncRNA from 1 species